UGGUGAAAUCAUGUUUCUUUAGCAGUGACUGUGAGCAAUACCAGUGAUGUGCUGUAUUCACAGGUCGACACCAAGAAAAAGAAACCGAAGAGCAAAGAUCAUGUGAGUGGAGCAGCUGAUGUCACCUAUGCUGACAUUGAACUGAAACCUAAGAAAGAAGUGAAGAAAAAGAAAGAGAAGAACGAUAUUUCUUCUGGAUCGAAUGAUGUGACUUAUGCUCAGAUAAAAUAAAACAAACAGAGGAGAAAAAGACAGCAAUAGUCAAACCUUCAUGUACAUCACAGUAAAUGCUUGAUCAUCUUUCUUUUUUAAUAGCCACAUGUUUUCUGUUAUAAUCACCACUGCAUUGAUUUACUGUUGAUUCAGUUCAUUGGCUGGAGACACGUGUAUGACAUGUAUCAGGGAUCUUUUCACAAUCUUUUUAUUAACUUUUAUGGAAUCUGGUUGAAUCAGAAGACAACAUUUAUGUCAAAUGAAAUAUUCAAGCAAGUUAUGAUUGAUAUGAUUGUUUUCUGUGAGUAUGAGUCUUGUAAAAAAUACUUUUAUAUCGCUGCUGUGCUGCAGUAAAGUGUCUGUAAAAGCACCUUUUCACGACACGCCAGAGGAAGAGAGAGAUCAUGUUCUUCAGAUUUAAUAAUGUCAGUGCUGUGGGUUUGUGUGAGGGUUAUGUUUAUAGUAAAUAUAGUAAAUAUCAUGCUCCUGUGUGAUAUUAGAAACCAUAGCCACUGUAUGCAGUAUAAAGGUCUUGAAUGGUAUUUGUAUGUGAGAUAAACAAAAUGCUUUUUAUUUUCAUAUAACAACAGGUCGUUUUGUUAGAAGAUGUGGUUGUAUGUGAAAAUGUGUGCAUUCGGU